UAGGGAAUCUUCGGCAAUGGACGAAAGUCUGACCGAGCAACGCCGCGUGAGUGAAGAAGGUUUUCGGAUCGUAAAAACUCUGUUGUUAGAGAAGAACAAGGGUGAGAGUAACUGUUCACCCCUUGACGGUAUCUAACCAGAAAGCCACGGCUAACUACGUGCCUG
rnacentral:rRNA from 1 species